UGGGUCGAUCAGGCGGCCGCGUUGGAGGAGUGCCGUAAGGCAUGAGAACCACCGAGGAACGUCCGGGCUCCGCAGGGCAGGGUGGUGGGUAACGCCCACUCGGGGUGACCCGCAGGCCAGUGCCACAGAGAAUAGACCGCUUCCCGCCGUCAACCGGCAGGGGAGUAAGGGUGAAACGGUGGUGUAAGAGACCACCAGCGUGCCGGGUGACCGGUGCGGCUAGGUAAACCCCACCCGGAGCAAGGCCAGACAGUGCGCGCUUGAGGGCUGCCCGCCCGAGUGCACGGGUAGGCCGCUGGAGGGCGUCGGCAACGGCGCUCGUAGAUGGAUGGCCGCCACUCCCGGGCCGGUAACGGUGCGGGAUGACAGAACCCGGCGUAUCGGUCGACCCAUCCC
rnacentral:RNase_P_RNA from 1 species